GUAUGACUCUCGGCAAUGGAUAUCUUGGCUCUUGCAUCGAUGAAGAGCGCAGCGAAAUGCGAUACGUGGUGUGAAUUGCAGAAUUCCGUGAACCAUCGAAUUUUUGAACGCAAGUUGCGCCCGAGGCCAAUUGGCUAAGGGCACGUCCGCCUGGGCGUCAAGC
rnacentral:rRNA from 12 species